rnacentral:misc_RNA from 1 species
UUUCCGUUGGUGAACCAGCGGAGGGAUCAUUACAGGACUCGCAAGACUCCUUCACCCUGUGAACCUCACUACAAGCACGUUGCUUCGGCGGGUGUCCCGGCGGGGGUUUUCCCUCGCCGGGGCGCACAGCCCGCCGGCAGCCUACUAUACUCUGUCUCUUUGCGUUGGCAUCUCGAGAAAAAACAAACAAGUUAAAACUUUCAACAACGGAUCUCUUGGUUCCG